AAGCAUAUAAUUAAGCGGAGGAAAAGAAACUAACAAGGAUUCCCCUAGUAACGGCGAGUGAAGCGGGAAGAGCUCAGACUUUAAAUCUUAGGAAUUGUAGUCUGUAUAAGCCAGGUCAUCUCUAAUAGUUUGUAAAGUACCCUGGAAUGGGUCGCCAUGGAGGGUGAUAGCCCCGUCUAUACUGACUAUGAAAGUGUUCGACCGGUUUUCAAAGAGUCGAGUUGCUUGGGACUGCAGCUCUAAGCGGGUGGUAAAUUCCAUCUAAAGCUAAAUAUUGGUGUGAAACCGAUAGCAAACAAGUACCGUGAGGGAAAGAUGAAAAGAACUUUGAAAAGAGAGUUAAAAAGUACCUGAAAUUGCUGAAAUGGAACCGAUAGGAGGUAGUGUUGUGGUGGACUUUUUGUAUUKCUCGCAUGCGAGUGAUGCCCCGUAGUCCAGCACUGGUUAAGCUUGUUUAGUUGUGUGGGAGAGUAAUCUUACGUCACGCAGCUGAACGACUUUAACAAAAUGCCUCUUAUCAUCCCGUCUUGAAACACGGACCAAGGAGUCUAACAUGUCUGCGAGUGCUCGGAGUUCAUCUCCAAGCGCGGAAUUAAUGUAAAUGUGACCUAGUCACUAAGGUAGGAAGCUCCGGCUGCACUAUCGACCGACCACUGUCCUUCGGGUACGAGGUUUGAGUGUGAGCAUACAUGUUGGGACCCGAAAGAUGGUGAACUAUGCUUGAGUAGGACGAAGCCAGGGGAAACUCUGGUGGAGGUCCGCAGCGAUUCUAACGUGCAAAUUGAUCGUCGAACUUGGGUAUAGGGGCGAAAGACUAAUCGAACCAUCUAGUAGCUGGUUCCUCCCGAAAUUUCCCUCAGGAUAGCUGCAACCGAAUAGUUUUAUCAGGUAAAGCGAAUGAUUAGAGGCCUCAGGGGUGGAACGUCCUUGACCUAUUCUCAAACUUUAAAUGGGUAAGAGCCCGAGGUUGCUUAAUUGAACCUUGCGGUUGAAUAACGGUUGCUAGUGGGCCAAUCUGGGUAAGCUAGAUUGGCGAUGCGGGAUGAACCGAACGUCAAGUUAAAGUGCCAAAGUAUCCGCUAACCUAGAUCCCACAAAAGGUGUUGGUUCAUUAAGACAGCAGGACGGUGGCCAUGGAAGUCGGAAACCGCUAAGGAGUGUGUAACAACUCACCUGCCGAAUGAACUAGCCCUGAAAAUGGAUGGCGCUGAAGCGGAUCACUUAUACUUGACCAACCGUGCAAGUACGAAGCACUGUUGAGUAGGGGGGCGUGGAGCUCGUUGUGCAUUUUGUGGCGUGAGCCGGAAUGAAACGGGUUCUAGUGCAGAUCUUGGUAGCAGUAGCAAAUAUUCAAAUGAGAACUUUGAAGACUGACGUGGAGAAAGGUUCCAUGUGAACAGUAAUUGGACAUGGGUGAGUCGAUCCUAAGAGAUAGGAGAAUUCUGUUUCAAAUGGUCUUUACUUGUAGGGACCAGUCUAUCGAAAGGGAAUCGGGUUAAUAUUCCCGAACCAGAACGUGGAUAAUGAGUGGCAACACAAGCGAAAUCGGGGACGUUUGCGAGAGCCCCAGGAAGAGUUCUCUUUUCUUUUUAACAGCCUGAUAGACCUUGGAAUCGGAUUGCCCGGCGAUAAGGUUUAUUAGCUGGGAAAGCAGCAUACUUUUUGUGCUGUCUGGUGCGCUCUCGACGAUCCGUGAAAACCCGGUAGCGUGACUUAUUCGCACCUCUGGUCGUACUCAUAACCGCCUCAGGUCUCCAAGGUGUGCAGCCUCUAGUCAAUAGAACAAUGUAGAUAAGGGAAGUCGGCAAAAUAGAUCCGUAACCUCGGGAUAAGGAUUGGCUCUGAGGGUUGGGCCUAGGGGUCUCAGGAACAAAGGAUGUGGCGGUUAGGAGGGGACUGCGAAGUAAUUUGUGGACCUCACCCGACUGCCCCCCCGAGGUCUUGAGAACGUUUUCGGACUUUCCCUAGUGCGUGGAACAACCAACUCAGAACUGGAGCGGACAAGGGGAAUCCGACUGUUUAAUUAAAACAAAGCAUUGCGAUGGCUGGAGA
rnacentral:rRNA from 1 species